rnacentral:rRNA from 1 species
GGAAGGAUCAUUAUCAAAACAGCGGACUUCGGUCCUUGCUGCACCCUUGUCUUUUGCGUACCGUAUGUUUCCUCGGCGGGCUUGCCUGCCGGUUGGACAUUAUCAAACCUUUUUGUAGUUGCAAUCAGCGUCAGAAAAUAAACAAUAAUUACAACUUUCAACAACGGAUCUCUUGGUUCUGGCAUCGAUGAAGAACGCAGCGAAAUGCGAAAAGUAGUGUGAAUUGCAGAAUUCAGUGAAUCAUCGAAUCUUUGAACGCACAUUGCGCCCCUUGGUAUUCCAUGGGGCAUGCCUGUUCGAGCGUCAUUUUGUACCCUCAAGCACUGCUUGGUGUUGGGCGUUUGUCCUGCAAAGGACUCGCCUGAAAGCGAUUGGCGGCCAACGUACUGGUGGUAGAGCGCAGCACAAUUUGCGUCUCUCCCUUCUACGUCGGCGUCCAUGAAGCCUUUUUUCAACGUUUGACCUCGGAUCAGGUAGGGAUACCCGCUGAACUUAAGCAUAUCAAU